rnacentral:lncRNA from 1 species
GUUUGUUUUUAGGACAAGGAAAUAUGAACAAAUUGAAUUCAUAAUCUUUUUCUUCAAGGGAUCACCUUAUCAAAAAUAAGCUCUAAGGUAUUUAUUUAUGCAUGUGAUGAACAGUACACAAACAGGGGGCCCUGUUUUUGUUAACACAUCUCCAGGCUGAAGCAGAGGUUUAGAGAAUAAUUACAAACAAUUUCUUUCACCACUGUGCUUCAGAGCUCUGUGCUUUGAAUUUGCUUAUGGUUUCCCCUUUCUAACAGUUUCAACCUCUUGCGGUAUAGCAGUACCAAGCUAAGUUACAUACGUCUGAUCAUUUUGUGUCUUGCAAGCCUAUCUGCCUCUUCCUUUAAGGAUAGAUUGAGCAUUCUGGCUUACUUGCUGUCCAGCUUGGGGCUGGGUUAGCCCAGUGGGAGACUUUAGACAUUACAGAUUAUUUCCAUCUCUCUCUGCCAUCCUCUUUUGUCCCCAACUAUUUAUUGAGGCCCCCUUUAUUUAAUAACACUUCCUAGAAAUUUCAAAUGAUGCCUUCAAUCACAUACUAUUGGCCACAACUCAUUCUCAUGUCCACACUCCUACACUGUUAGUGGGAAGAUAAGUUGGUACAGCCACUCUAGAAAAUAUUAUGGAGGUUCCUCAGAAAACUAUACAUAGAGUUACCAUAUGACCCAGCAAUCCCACUCCUGGGCAUGUAGCCAGACAAAACUCUAAUUCAAAAAGAUACAUGCACCCCUAUGUUCAUAGAAACACUACUGACAAUAGCCAAGACAUGAAAACAACCUCAAUCUGUCUGUCAACAGAUGAAUGGAUAAAAAAGGAUGAAAAUGUGGUCCACAUACACAGUGAAAUACUACUACUAGCCUUCAAAAAGAAUGAAAUAAUGCCAUUCCCAGCAACAUGGAUGAAACUAGAGAAUAUCAUACUAAGUGAAGCAAGUCAGAAAGAGGAAGACAAAGACCAUAAUAAAUACCAUAUGAUAUCACUUAUAUGUGGAAUCUAAAAUCUGACACAAAUGAACCUACCUAUGACACAGACUCACAGACUUAGAGAACAAACUUGUGGUUGCCAAGGGGCAGGGGGGUCGGGGAGGGAUGGAGUGAGAGGCUGGGGUUAGCAGAUGCAAGCUGUUAUACACAAAGGGAUAAUCAACAAGAUCCUACUGUAGAGCACAGAGAACUACAUUCAAUGUCUUAUGAUAUAAUGGAAAUUUAAAAAGAAUGUGUGUGUGUGUGUGUGUGUAUAACUCAAUCACUUUGUUGUACAGCAGAAAUUAGCUCAACAUUGUAAAUCAACUAUAUGUCCAUAAAAAUACACUUAAAAAAAAAAUCAGGGUUCGACUCAGUAGAAGAUGACCAAAUGGAUGUUGGGAUUAACUAGUAGACUCUACCACUGGUUUGUAUUCACUUACACUCUUAACAUCAGGUUAGGAGAGCUUCUUUUUCUCCACGUUUUCAUUAAAAUUUAGUAUUUUCAGACACUUUGAUUUUUGUCAAUCUGGUAGACACUUAUUUUAAAAAAUUUUAUAUCCCUUUCAUACUCCCAUUGCCUCUUCCUCCCAGCCCAAUCUAAUAUAUCUAAUAAACAUCUGUUUGUUGUGCAUGAUGGGUAGUAUUUGGUAUGCAUCUAUUUUUCAUUCUGUAGCAAGUGUCACAUUGUAGGUCUUUUUUUCACUAAGCCCUGUAUUUUUUAACAUCUUGCUAUGUGUGCAGCUAUCCUACUGCCUCUGGCUGCUACAUAAUAUUCUGUGAUUUUCACCUGCACAUCAUGCUUGUCUGUGCUCCCAAUGACGGACACUCGGGUUGCCUUCAAUUCCCCAACAUCACUCUUGCCUCACACCAAGCCCAUGUGAGUAUGGUCAUUCUAGUUUUGCAGAGGAGAAAGCUGAGGUUCAGAGAAGUUAAAAAAAAUUUGCCCCAAGCCCCAGAGCUAAUGUACUGCCUUAGGCUAAUAGUCCCUAGAGAAAAAGAAAGAGUCCCAGAGAAAAUCCACUUAUAAGUAAAAGAUAAUUGUCCGUGAUUCCAGGUAAGCUUUCCUGCUCCAAAAUCUCUCUUUCCAUCAGCUUCAGUGACGCCUCACAGUUAAAAGCAGAGAUUCCUUACUUUGACUUAAUGAUAUUGCUCUGGUCAGAGUCCAAAUAGAUUGUAAACCUCACUAGUGAUUUAUGCCUUGUGAUUAACUGAAUUUUCAGUCCCUUUUUGGAGGUGAAGGAUUAGAUGAGCUAUGUAGCUACUGAAGGGUUAGAGGGCAGUGUGUCAGUUGGGACUGUUUUCAGCUCUGAAUCUAUAAAAACAGUGGCUUCAACAGAUGGUCGUUGAGUUAUCCAAGCGGUUCUCAAAGCCUCGUCUCCAGCUAGUGAAAUCAGUAACACCUUGGGAACUUGUUUCAGGCAUGCCUCCCACCCCUGGCCCCACAGAUUUUCUGAAUCAGAUACUCUAGAGGAGGGGCCCAGAAACCUGUGUUUUAAUAAACUUUCCAGGUGACUACGAUACCCACUGGAGUCUGGGAACCACAGGGAUUAAGUUAUCCUAACAAGAAGCCCAGGGUUGAGUGGUAGGGGCUGGUACCAUGGCUCAGCGAUGCUCAGGGUGCUGGCUCCUUCUUUCCCUCUGUUCUGACAUCUUCAGCAUAUGGCUUUCAUCUUUCUGGGAGCAUGUAGAUGCCCCAUCUGCAUUCCAGGUAGGAAAAAUGGGUGAAUCCAGAAUGGGUGGGACCUCUACCUUUUCCAGACACAUUCUGCUUAUGUCUCCUUGACAGUCAAUGUCACACAGCCAGGCCUGGAUGCUACAGAAUCUGGCUCUAAGGAAGUUGUGUUAAGUAUGCACACGGUCCCCUUGCCCUGAAACUGGAAUUCUGUUAGUAAGAACAAGGGGAUGGAUGCCUUGGGCAGGCAAAUCAGCUGGUUCCACUAUUUGCACUCAAAACAGAGGUGAGAGAAGCCAAAAUAGAGCAGUACAUGGUCAGGAUGGACAUAAUCAGCUUCAUUAUUGUUCUGGAGAACGGCUUAAGAUGGAGAGAAGAGGGUACCACCCUCUGAGCUGGUACCCUUGAGAGAGAGUGCUGUUUCACCUUGCAUGACCAUUACUCAUUUGGAGGGACCGGCAGACCCCUCUUGCCCCCAGCGUUCAGGAGACUUUCCAUAAUUUACAGUAACUAAAUCUGAAACACUAGCCUCAGCACCGACAAUGCAUCCUAUCCUCUAAAAAACACACAGGCGAUUAGCAGCAGGGACAGAAACGGAUUAAGAAGGGCUUGUUUUGAUGAGUUUGUUUACAGGAGCUCUCCGCAGCCCAGGAGAAAGGAUGAUGGUUUAUUUUUGCCUCUCGGCCUUGAGCCUGUAUCUCUGCUUGUUGACUUACUCCCAGCUUGGGGAGUUUUUCACUUGCUUUCUAGGUGUACUUGGGAAAAGGGCUCCCCCGCCCCCGACCAGAAAGAAAAUAAAUGUCUUUAUCUUAGGCUUCCAAGGGCCAUUGUCCAACAAAGGGAGGCCAAAGCUGCUAUGCUUUAAGCCUAGGGAGCUAUGGAGGGCAAGAGAGGUGCUUUACCCUGUGGUCUAGCCUUCUGCCUGGGAAGGGCAGGGCCACCACUGCUCACUGGAGACCUUUCCUGUUUCUCUCCUGGGGGAGGGGUUGUGCCCAUCAACACCACAGGUGGGUCCCGUGCAAGUACCAAACAAGCAGCUGCACAGCCCAGAGACUUGGAGCUGUUUGCAGCUCACCUCUCUUUGUACCCCAGCCAACUCACACACACCUGGGAUUUCACCAGCUGCCUGCCCACUGCAACCCCCUUUCCCCACGUGACCUAAUCUUCAUUACACCUGCCACUUUUCAGGGCUGUGAGCCCCAUGCCCACCUUGCCUCAAUAAGGCCUGGCGGGGGAGCGGGGGGUCUGAACAAGACCUACAUUUUGCAUGCCUAAAAUGGUCAACUCCCUCUCAUUUCAUGGCAAAUCAGGAGGGAUUACGGUUUACUGCAAAGAAAGGCUGCAGGGGACAAUCAGUCAGCUUGGUUAUUUGGGGGUCAAAUUAAAUUGGACCUGAGCCCUCAGCUCUAAAAUGGGAUCGAAUUCUCUCUUUGGCAUGAUGUGUGUAUUGCACCAAGAUGACUGUUCCCAUUCUCCGUCUUUGCAUACAGAUGUUGGUUUGCAGUUUUAAAGCACAGCAAGGAGUGAGGCAAAUACACCAGUUUGGAGUUUUGAAGUGAAUGCCGGGUUUCAAUUCAGCAGUUAUUCUGUCCUUUCAGUGUCAAAAGCCUCUUGGGUGCCAGGAGUAAUAAAUCUGAAUCAUCUCCGAUCUGUGUCUUUGGGGAGGUCAAAAUCCAGUAAAGGAUAUAGAGAUGCUAUUAAUAUAAAUUUGACUCUAGCACGGCAAGUAUAAAAACCUAUGGAGACUACCAGUUCUGAUGGGAAACUGGCAAUGGCUUUACAGAGCAACUGACAUUCGAGCUGAGUUUUGAAAAAUGAGGGCCAGGUUUGUACUUUCCUCGAGCAGACACCAGGGACUGACCUGCCGUCAGGCUCUUUUAAUUACGUCUGACAUUGUUUUGUACCAUUACUGCUCCCAACAUUCUGUGCAUGACUACAGUCCAAGGCUAAAAGUGGUAAUCACCUUUGGAAACUGCCAACAAACAUGAAUAGCUCUUCUGGGGCCAACUUUUCUCAAGGAAGUAAUAAAUGUACCCUUGUGGCGAAUGACAGUCAGUCAUGAACGUCUCUGUCUGGCUCCCUCACUGCCUUGUGACUUUGGACAGGAAACAUAACAUAUCAAUUCAUUGCCCUUAACAAAUGUGGUUUCUUUAUGAUGGCCUGAAUCAAUCAACAAGUGAGUUGUAAGCACUCACUGUGUGCUUGGUACUAUUCAUUGCCACUUCUCUGAGUCACAAAAGCGCAGAAAGAUGAAAACUAGGGAACAGAAAGCACAUGCUAAUAGCAAUAUAAGUAAAGAAACAGCCCUGUUAUUUUAAAACAGAGUAUCCUUUUCAGCAGUCACAUAAAGGCUUUAAGCAGUUGGCAAGCUUUCAAAUUCUAACUUCUCUAGUAACUUUUAGCCAGUACUA